AACGAACGCUGGCGGCAUGCCUAACACAUGCAGGUCGAACGAGACCUUCGGGUCUAGUGGCGCACGGGUGCGUAACGCGUGGGAACCUGCCCUUAGGUUCGGAAUAACUCCCCGAAAGGGGUGCUAAUACCGGAUAAUGUCUUCGGACCAAAGAUUUAUCGCCUUUGGAUGGGCCCGCGUUGGAUUAGCUAGUUGGUAGGGUAAAAGCCUACCAAGGCGACGAUCCAUAGCUGGUCUGAGAGGAUGAGCAGCCACACUGGGACUGAGACACGGCCCAGACUCCUACGGGAGGCAGCAGUGGGGAAUAUUGGACAAUGGGCGAAAGCCUGAUCCAGCAAUGCCGCGUGAGUGAUGAAGGCCUUAGGGUUGUAGAGCUCUUUUACCCGGGAUGAUAAUGACAGUACCGGGAGAAUAAGCUCCGGCUAACUCCGUG
rnacentral:rRNA from 1 species